UGGGGUGUGGCUCAGCGGAAGAACGCUCAUCUAGCACAUGGGAGGCCCGGGUUCGAUCCUCAGCACCACAU
rnacentral:tRNA from 1 species